rnacentral:rRNA from 1 species
CACGUAGGGUCCGAGCGUUGUCCGGAAUUACUGGGCGUAAAGCGCGCGCAGGCGGUCUGCUCAGUCGCUGGUGAAAGCCCCACGCUCAACGUGGGAAGGUCCGGCGAGACGGGCAGACUGGAGGCAGGGAGAGGUCGUUGGAAUUCCGGGUGUAGUGGUGAAAUGCGUAGAGAUCCGGAGGAACACCAGAGGCGAAGGCGGCCGACUGGACCUGACCUGACGCUGAGACGCGAAAGCGUGGGGAGCGAACAGG